rnacentral:rRNA from 1 species
UACGUAGGGUGCGAGCGUUAAUCGGAAUUACUGGGCGUAAAGCGUGCGUAGGCGGUUCUCCAAGUCCGUUGUGAAAGCCCCGGGCUCAACCUGAGAAUGGCAGUGGAAACUAGGGGACUGGAAUCUGGCAGAGGGGGGUGGAAUGCCGCGUGUAGCAGUGAAAUGCGUAGAGAUGCGGCGGAACACCGAUGGCGAAGGCAGCCCCCUGGGCUGAGAUUGACGCUCAGGCACGAAAGCGUGGGGAGCAAACAGG